UGCACUAAAUGUGUUAUACACAUCAAAAAGACUGGAUGCCUGAUUGGUCAUUUGUACCCAAAUCCUGUCCCCUUCUGCCAGUUGAAUGUUGAUAGUUUGGGAUGCCAUAUCAUAUUCUUUAUUAGUGAAUAACCACACCAAAAUAGCUCCAUUCUUCCUCAAAGUAGUGUGACAUGUAACAGAGCCUGACAUUAUGGUAACAGAUACCAAGUAAACACCGCCCAUUCCAGGACGAACAGUAAAA
rnacentral:lncRNA from 1 species